GACGAACGCUGGCGGCGUGCUUAACACAUGCAAGUCGAACGGAAAGGCCCUGCUUUUGUGGGGUGCUCGAGUGGCGAACGGGUGAGUAACACGUGAGUAACCUGCCCUUGACUUUGGGAUAACUUCAGGAAACUGGGGCUAAUACCGGAUAGGAGCUCCUGCUGCAUGGUGGGGGUUGGAAAGUUUCGGCGGUUGGGGAUGGACUCGCGGCUUAUCAGCUUGUUGGUGGGGUAGUGGCUUACCAAGGCUUUGACGGGUAGCCGGCCUGAGAGGGUGACCGGCGACAUUGGGACUGAGAUACGGCCCAGACUCCUACGGGGGGCAGCAGUGGGGAAUAUUGCACAAUGGGCGGAAGCCUGAUGCAGAAACGCCGCGUGCGGGAUGACGGCCUUCGGGUUGUAAACCGCUUUCGCCUGUGACGAAGCGUGAGUGACGGUAAUGGGUAAAGAAGCACCGGCUAACUACGUG
rnacentral:rRNA from 1 species